GAUGAACGCUGGCGGCGUGCUUAACACAUGCAAGUCGAACGAUGAAGCCCAGCUUGCUGGGUGGAUUAGUGGCGGACGGGUGAGUAACACGUGAGCAACCUGCCCCUGACUCUGGGAUAAGCGCUGGAAACGGCGUCUAAUACUGGAUAUGUCCCGUCACCGCAUGGUGUGCGGGUGGAAAGAUUUUUCGGUUGGGGAUGGGCUCGCGGCCUAUCAGCUUGUUGGUGAGGUAAUGGCUCACCAAGGCGUCGACGGGUAGCCGGCCUGAGAGGGUGACCGGCCACACUGGGACUGAGACACGGCCCAGACUCCUACGGGAGGCAGCAGUGGGGAAUAUUGCACAAUGGGCGGAAGCCUGAUGCAGCAACGCCGCGUGAGGGAUGACGGCCUUCGGGUUGUAAACCUCUUUUAGCAGGGAAGAAGCGAAAGUGACGGUACCUGCAGAAAAAGCACCGGCUAACUACGUG
rnacentral:rRNA from 1 species